UUUUACCACCUGAGGAGUUAUGGUAAUAUCAACAGCAGAGCCUGGGAGGUGAGGAAGAAAGAGAAUCUGCAAAGAAACAGAACAUUCUGAAGAGACAAUAUGGCCUUUUCCCUGCUGUUAAAUAAGGCUUUUUUUGGUCUCUUUAUUAUAGCAUCGUCUGGAUUCUCAGAUUUUAUAAAUUGGAAGAAACCUAAAACACGUAAAGCAGAGAUUGACUGUUUAUGGUUGCUACAAGCAAUGAAGAACAAUAUUCCAAGAAUUUGGAAAUAUUGUGAAUUUACAUAUGAUCCACUAUGUUCAAAAGAUAAGGAAACUUUUGGGAACCAAUGUCUCUACUGCCUAAAGUACAGGUUGAUUGUCCUUGGAUGCUACUAGAAUUAGAUAAAAAGAACCCGAGAAUCCUGAAUUACUGUGUAUCUGGAAUUGAUAUAGUAUGUUCAAUUGACAAUGAAAAUUUUGUGAACAAGUGUGAAUUUUGCAUAAAAAAGAACAUCAAUAUGAAGAGAGCCUGGGAGGGGAGAUAGAAGGGGAAGUUGCAUAGAAGCAUAGAAGCAUUCUGAAAAGAAAACAUGGCCUUCUCCCUGUUGUCAACCAAGAUUCUAUUGGGCCUCUUCAUCUUGGAAUUGUCUGGUUUCUCAGAGGUUUUCAGUGCACUACAGUCUUCAGGAAAGGGGUUCCAAAAGCCGAUUUGUCAAAAAUUCUUGAGAGAAUUUGAAAAGCAAAGUAAGGAAGAAAGGAAAUGUUCACCAAAUGUUGACCCAAUAUGUGCAUCUAAUCGUCAGACUUACAGAAACCCGUGCGAAUUCUGUUUAGCAUACAAGUAUUUACAAGCAACAAUUUACUUUAUGCAUUAUGGUGACUGCUGACUAUAGGGGCUUUCAAAAGAUGUCUGUCCUCAACCUUUUCCUGUUGCAUAUUCCUCAAAACAAUUACUUCUUCUCCACUUUUGCCCAGGAAGCUCUUUGUGAUUAUAGCUUAAUUUGUUCAUUGAAAAAUUGUACCCAGAUAUUCCUAGAAGAAUGACCAUCAAAGCUCUUCCUAGAUUCAUUCUAUUGGUUAUGAGAAAGUUUCCAUAAUAAAAUAUAUUUCUCUUAA